GCAUUUAUUCUCUGAUCUGGUCCCAGCGGGUGGAGGGGGGUUGACACACCACAUGUGGACAAACCAACAAAAAGGUUGAUUCUGCAGCUCUUAGCUCCCUGCUGACCUGCAGACCUUGAUCAACGCUGGAGGGUGAUUCAUACCAACACACAGCAGGUCGUUACAUCAGGGAUACAACUGACGACAACAAGCAAACAAAUGAGCUGCAGAGGUCAACAGGAAACAUGGCCGAGACGGAGGUGGAAGGUCAGAGCACAAGGCCAGAGAGUAUUGAUGCUCGGUGUUUGCUCCACGCUGGUGAGCACACAGCUCAAGAAAAAACGUCUAUUUCCCCUCAGUAUCCUUUUUCACUCUUUGCAUUUUCUGUUUUUGUACGAUGAGAGAAACAGACAUAACUCCGCUGGAUUGAGAAUGGCGCAACAAUAUUGGUAUUGCAAUACCGUCAUCAGUGUUUUAAACAUUUGUCCUUUUUUUUUUGUGCACACAAGGUUUGACUCAUGCAUGAAAACGAAGGAGAAGGUUUCUGUCCUCCAGCAUCCUUGUAGCUACGGUAGCAGGUAAGAAAGAGGUGCAGUGGAGGGAGUGACUAACCGAAGCAGAGCCACUCUCACUAACCAGAGAGCCGAAGAGUGUGUUUACUGAGAAACCCAACAGUGGAGCAGUGAGCAGGAAAAACAGGCACUCUGCAAGUUAGAUGUCGACUGGAGAAGAUGGGUUCAGACCAAAGUGACGUAUCUGAGGUAAAAAGUCACAUGACCGGUGACAUCUGCAGUUUCAGAUUGUCAUGAUUACUCUGGUUUCCACAAAAGAGCUCAUUGUGGAGUCUUGUUUUUGUGUGUUUGGAGUGUUUCACAGAGGUUGAGCGGGUCCUCCUGAUUCACCUACAAUCACCACCUUCUUUUACACUCUGGGUCGGACUGCUUGUUGUCAGAUGACUCCUGCUUGUUGGCUAACUUCUUGAGAGGCUAAAUUAUGUAAGUUUACCUGUAAAUGUUUUUGCCAUUGAUUAAUCCUCGCUCCUUUCUCCUCCAGCGCCUCCGCCAACCGCCAGUGUUUGCCAAAACUUUUCUACACCGCUAGGGUGACCAAACGUCCUCUUUUACCCGUUCAUGUCCUCUUUUGGGGGGUUGUUCAGCUUUGUCCAGGAAGUUUAUGAAACCCUUUAAAUGUCUGGGGUUUUGUACAGAAGUUUUGAGUUUGUGUCACGUGGACUAACUGGGUUGGAAGCUCGUAAAAAACACUCGACCCGACCUGAAAAACUUAAAACUCACUACGCGCAAUUCCUUGACUCUGUCCCACGUAAUCGCGUCCUCUUUUGGGGCAUUCAGAAUAUGGUCACUUAUUAACCACGGAUCUCCUUCACUCCCUUGACCCCAGAGCUCACUUCACCAGUACAAUCUAAUGAAGCAUAGCGUUAGUUCUGGCAGGUCAUGACAUCAAGCAUUGAUCUGCAGCCAAUGGCAAGUAGCCACCUCAACCAGCUGAUGAUCCAGCUAUUUCCUCCGAGCUCCUAUUGGUCUUUGCCUUUAGAGCGCUCUAUUUAAAACUGCCCUGACCCCGCCUCAUGAGGGGCGGGAAGGUGCUCUUCCUGCUGUUGGCCUUUCACGCAUGCUUACGUGGUGAACAGGGGCCCCAAACAGAACCUCCCUGCUAUCGCCUUUUUACGAUGGCUCGUGAGGGGUAGGAAGGGGCUCUUCAGGCCUCUGGCCUCCGCGCAAGCAUGUGGAAGGGCAGGGACCAAGAACAGAACCAUGCCGCCAAAUUUAACUUUGCAUGAUAAGACUUCUACUUCUACUGCCUCCUUUACCUGCUUUUGGGUCCCCUCAAGAACGAUCUAUGACGACAAAUCUUAACACAAAGGUCACCAAAACUGUUUCCUCUACUUGAACCUCCAAACUUCUCUUAUAUAAAGGGCUUUGUCCAACAAAUAUUGAAUGCAGUACAACGUCUAAACAAAGGUAAGCACAGACGUGUUAAUAUGAUAUUGUAUGAGAGGGAGGAGAGGCCACUGUGCGUAAUCGUUUUUGGUCUUUUUCAUGUUCUGCAAUAAAAUAUCAUCACUGCAAAAGAGCAGGAUGCAGAGAAGAUCAGUGAUGUUGUGAUGGACGUUCGAUCCCACCGUUUAGAGACGGGUCAGAAGGUGACACAAACCCGAACCAUCUAGAAACAGGACCGUGCGAAGACUCCAGCACGCUUCAUCAACAUUUAAACCAAUUUAGGGGAGAAUUACUGCAAAGAGAACUCCAGAAACCACAGUCAGGUCACAGAUAUGAACGUAUCAGACUGUUACAGCUGUAUUAUGUUCUGUUGACGCUGAGACGCCCUGCAGGAAAAAGGUCAGAAGUGCUUCAUCUGCAGAUCUGAUCCACGGGUCAAAGAGUAGAUCUAGAAAAUAUCAAUACACUUUAUUUUUCUGCUUCAGUAAUUUCAACCGCAAAAAAGAAAGAGUUGAAUGUCUUUAAUUCAGCCCUUAGGGUGCAGUUUUUUUUACACCUGCUACAUCUGAGCGAUCAUUAAAACCAUCAUGGCUGACCUCCUGACCUCACACUCCUGCUGAAGCUGCUUCAUGUAAAACUCGGAGUAAAACACACCUCGUGAUACAACGCACUGUUGGUAGACGGAUUAAAAACAGCAUUAAAUCAGAUUAUUGACUUUACCUGUUUGUGUGUUAGUCAGCCGUCAGGACUGAAGUGUGGAGGGUGUAACAAAACAAUGAAACCAUGAGGAGUUUACCUGCUGAUGAAGAGGAUCAUAAAUCCAGUUAGUGUUGGGCGGUAUGAACAAAAUCUUCUAUCACAGUAUCAGUAAUUUUAUUUCACAGUAUCGGUAUAUAUCACUGUAUGUUUUUCUCCUGUCAAUUCAACUAAUUGCUUAAAAAUAAAAAAACUGUUGCAUUUGUUCAUUUUCUUUUUAUUUUUAAACUCAAAUUUGGAAACAAAUACAAACAAAAUCUCAGACCAGUCUGCCGAUUUUUGAUCAUAUGUCAUAUCUUUGGCGAAAGACUCUGCCAAACUCUUUAGUCUGAGAGGAGCUGCUGCAGUUUUAGUUUUCGGUGCAGCAGGUGCGUCACGCCUCCUUUGUCUCUCGUAAUAGAGUUUGGCGUGUUUCAUCUUUAGGUGGUUGAAGAGGUUGUUGGUGUUUCCUCCUCCAGCAACGACAGACACACCACACUCUUUGCAUAGUUUUGUUUUUUGAUCAUUGUUGGAUUUUCUAAAUCCGAAGAAUCUCCAGACAACCGAUGUCAGGACUCAGGCCCUUUUUCGGAAUGAGUCCCUCCUCCUCUUCCUCGUGUUGUGUGGGUCGUGAUGCCUCCAUUUGCUCGGUACUGCCACUAAUCUCUGCGUCCGCCAUGACCACCACCAGUGAAGCUGUUUCUUCUUCAUCAAAACGAUGCCAAGCAGGACAAAUAGAGCGAACAAGUUCAGCACAACACGCUGGUGAAUAUACGGAAACGCACCCAAACGGAUGCGCUCCGGCUUUCCUGUUAGCGAGCGCAGACAACUACACACUGACUCAGAGAGACGCAGCAGACAUCUGCUCUCUCUCUCUCUCCGGUAUAAACGGUAGAGCAAAAUUUCUACUGGUAGACACUUUUAUACUGUCACAGUUGUACAUACCAACACGAAACCCAGUGAAUCAAAAGCAACAUGAACUCAUUCUGGUGUCCAUCUUCAUCGGACAGUUGACUCUUCCCUCUGUUUUCCAGCAGAAAUAAACUCGAUUCAACAUCGCUUGAACAUCAGUCGUUCGAUGGUGUAAGUUCUCCUUCGGUGUAAUAAGCUGCACGUACUUUAAGGCAGUUCAUAUUCCCUGUGAACUCCUCUGAAAGGGUCACUGUAUAUUCAAAACAAACAGUUAUUUGAUUUGAUUUAUCGUCUGCUUGUUUGUAGAUGAAAGUUAAAUUGCGACUCUGAUCUGUUUCUGCCGAGCAUCAAUCUAACCGAAUGCUCCAGCGGCGGAUAUUUUCUGCUGUUAAAACACGCUGAAUGUUUCCCCGACCUUUUGAUACGUGUGGUUAUUACUCAUUAGAGCGAAAUGUUAUUUUCUGAUUCACAAACAGCAGCUGCCUCCCAUCCUCCUGAUCAAUUUGCUGUUAAAAAAAAAAAAAGAACAACAACAAACAAACCUUUUCAUAUCCCUGUUGUGUUAUUAAUAUUUCUGUGCAUACAAAUGGAAGAGGUCAAAGCACUAAAAGAAAACACACAGAUAUUUCCUUUUCAUCCACCUCCCUGUAUAUGCGGAGGACGUGGAUGAAAUGAGCAACAGCAGAUGAGGAUCGGCUUUUAAUCCCUCCGAGUGAUGAUGGGGAGUUUGUUUCUGGUCCGAGGACACAGGUCUGACACCUCCAGGGAAAUUAUAACCACUCUGUAUUCAUGCUGCCAGGAGCACCGGGCCUCAGAGUGAAAUGAUACACAAUCAAGUUUAAACCCUGUGCGAUAGGAACCGUUUAUGUCCAGGUAGGGAAACUGGUGUAAAAACGCCGAACAGAGAUUUUAUUUCCCCUGUUCUCGCUCCACAACAACGGUUCUUCUCACUGAUGGAGGUUUGCAGACCAGACGGAAGCUCGCUUGUUUCAUACUGAAGUUCUCCUCGGAUGAUUGUCAUUUCAUCUAUGUUGGUGUGUUUCUGCAGGAAAUAACAGUGUGCAUGGAGAGAUGAGUCUGUCACUUCCACAUAGUGACCGUUUCCACUCAGUGAGUGAGAAUCUGCAAUGCUGUUUUUUUUUUUUUUUUAUGAUUAACAUUUUUUUUAUUUCCAUUUUUCUUUUAAACAGUACAAACACAAACACAAAAACACAAAACAUCCCUCCCUCCCUCCCCAAGUCACCACCAACUGCACUCAUUCCUCUCUGGCUUGCAAAGUACGCCACUGUGCUACUCCUUGUACCACUUGCCUUGUUGGAUCGGCUGCAUCAAUGUAGCUAAACAUAAAGCAAUCACAAUCUCUACACAAAUCAUCGUUGAGAUACAAGAAAAUAUAUGAAUAAAAUAAGAUAAAAUAAUAAAUAAAAAAUAUUAAUAAGUAUAUAACAAUAAAUAUACAUAUACAUACACAUACUAUAAAAUAGAAUAAUAACUAUAGUAAUAGAAAAUAUACAAUAUAUAUACUAUAUGUAAUUAUAAUUAUAUCAAUUCACAAAAUAUAAAUGAUAUAUACAUAAAAAUAAAUAAAUACAUAAAUAAAUAUAUAAAAAUAACUGAAUACAUACAAACACCUAAUAAGCAAGUAAUUUAAAAUAAUGGGUAAAAUAAAUAAUAAUUAAAAAAAAUAAAUAAAUCUGCGAUGCUGUUUUAUAGACGAUGAAUAACUCAUGAAAUCUGGGAAGUUCUUACGGUUGGAGUGCUUUGCAGUUGAUCAGAAAGACAGUCGAGCCCAACCACACGUGAAUCUGCCAUGAGGUACCUUUGAAAUAAACUCAGUGCACAGAUGAAAGCCUGUAGGAUAAUCUACUUUUGGUGGUUUAGUGGGGCACAAAGAUCGGAUAAAGAACCUUUUUCUCUUGGAGAGUCAGGUGUGUCUAUCACGCCUCUCUAUGUAAACACACGAGACCUGACUCCCCUCCUUCUACUGCGUCUCUGAACACACAGGAAACACUCUCAGGAUGAUCUAUGAGUCAUGUCAGUUCAUGGAUUAUUGUCAAAUUCACUGAAACGAUUCCUCUGAACAACAGAAACAAAAGUGACUCUCCGAUUGGCACAAAUACACAAAAGGCACGGCAGCAUGAACAUGAACAUCCCCGUUAUCUGUAACUGAAGUCCAGAGUGUGUUCAUCAAACGAAGGUUGGGUUUGGAUAUCGGUGUUUUUUUGAGCGUCUGUUUCUGCUUACCUGUGAGAGUGCGCAUGAUGGAGAGCUUGAUGACGUUCAUAGUCUGGAGGGCGGAGGUGAAGCCGGUCUGUGAGGUGAUGGUGAUGAUGGUGUCCUGAGAUCGAAACGUUUCUGCUUUUUAUAUAUUUUAUAAUUUAAGAUGAGUUUUGAAAACUGGAGGUGAUCAACCCCCAAAUUCCACCGCAUGCGGAACAGCAGCAAU